CCUACGUGAGGCAGCAGUGAGGAAUAUUGGUCAAUGGGCGCGAGCCUGAACCAGCCAAGUCGCGUGAGGGAAGACGGUCCUAUGGAUUGUAAACCUCUUUUGUCGGGGAGCAAAAGACGCCACGCGUGGCGUUCCGAGAGUACCCGAAGAAAAAGCAUCGGCUAACUCCGUGCCAGCAGCCGCGGUACUACGGAGGAUGCGAGCGUUAGCCGGAUUUAUUGGGUUUAAAGGGGGCGCAGGCGGAAGAUCAAGUCAGCGGGAAAAUUGAGAGGCUCAACCUCUUCGAGCCGUUGAAACUGGUUUUCUUGAGUGAGCGCGCAGUCUGCGGACUGCGUGGUGUAGCGGUGACAUGCCUAGCUAUCACGC
rnacentral:rRNA from 1 species